UGAAUGCACCAAUUGAUAAGUCGCUCUGGAUAAGAGCGUCUGCUAAAUGACUUAAA
rfam:Salmo salar isolate Sally breed double haploid chromosome ssa04, whole genome shotgun sequence.